CAUGUAGGCGGCUUGCCAAGUCUGAUGUGAAAGCCCGGGGCUCAACCCCGGAAGUGCAUUGGAAACUGGCAAACUUGAGUACGGGAGAGGAAAGUGGAAUUUCGAGUGUAGGGGUGAAAUCCGUAGAUAUUCGAAGGAACACCAGUGGCGAAGGCGGCUUUCUGGACCGAUACUGACGCUGAGAUGCGAAAGCGUGGGGAGCAAACAGGAUUAGAUACCCUGGUAGUCC
rnacentral:rRNA from 1 species